AGAGAGAUGGAGUUUGUUGGCUGUGCUGGAGAGGGAGUCAGUGUUGUGUGGAGCUGCAUGUGAUAAAAUCACCAAGAAGGCCUUGAAAUUUCAUUGUCUUCUGAAAGAAAACAUCCCUUGACUCAUAGCAUAUUCAGAACAUUAGAAAUUCACAAUAUAGGUCUCCAACACUGUCAUACUGAAAGUAGCUUCAAGAUGGGCAAGAUCUCAGCUGCAAUACCAUGGGUAUAUUAGUACACAAUUUUUUUACCCUAAUGUUUUAUGAGAUGACCAAGCAAUUCUCUUUUUCUGGACUCUGGGCUAGGUUUCCUUUUAUCAGUCCAUGAUAUUACAAAUCAGUGAUGUACACAGUUCAGUAUAACUCAAUCAAUGUUUCUUUUAAAGUAAAUAUCUAACAAAAAUUGAAAAAGCAUAUUUGUCCUCUACUACCACCAGAUGUAUACCAGCAGAAAAUGCAGAGAAAUGCAGCAAUGCUCUUUCAUUUGAAGUGGUGUUAGUCAUGCUGAUUGGGCCCUUUUCUUUGCAAUAUGUGUGUGCAGGGCAGUGUGUGUAGACCCUCUGGACAAAUACUCAGAGUCCACCAGCUUGGUACAUUGGCUCUUUCCAUCAUUGCAUGACACAAUCUGUGCCUGCUGCUAAGUCAUUAUAUUUGCAGCAAAUCAUGGUACCACUUUGCUUUGUAUUUCACUGUGGAAGCCUCUUGAAUCCCCCAUCCUUCCAGACAUCCAGACAGCCUAUUUGCAGCUGGCAAUUUUCAGCAGGGGCCUGCUAACUUCAUUUGCUAUUGUCUGCUUUUACAGAAAUGGUGGACUGUAGGCUCAUUGACAGAUCAAUUUUUUCAUUAUCAGCAUAUGCAGCUGUUUGAAUACUUACUAUUCCCUCAUUCUUGUCCACUUUCUGCCUAUUGUCAGAGAAGCUAAAGUGUUUAGUGGAAAGCCCAGCUUCCCAAGUCAAUUUUGACUGGUAAUUAUUGUUUAAAUAAAACAGACAGCAUGGCAAGAAACCUUCCUGGGAAUAUGCAUGUCUUGUAUAAUCACCUCUGAAUAAAAUUAUGCUGCGAACAUAAAUCUGAACUGCGGAGUUGUUUGAUGCAGAUAGAAAUCUUUCUUAAUUGCUUUAAUAUUUAUUGCAGUUCUUGAAAAGUACAGCAUUUUUAGCAAUAAAUACCUUGCAUAAUCUUUUUACUCCACAAUUAGUCACCACCUCUACAGUUUAUCAGGUGAAAAAAUAUUUCCCUAAAGAAAAUAAAUACAGUUUAGUCUUUACUACUUAUAUGCAUGCUCAUAGUCUGCAAGGCAGCAGGCUGUUGCCCUAGCUGUGCACUUGAGAUACGGCUUAUCACACAGAACAACUCUGAAUGAAGCAGAUGUUGGCCCAGAGGCAACAGGACAGGCACAAAACUUCUUCACUGCAUGAGCUUGCUAGGGUUCUGAGUUACUGAUGCUUUUCUCUGCCAAAAGCCAUAAUCUGGAUUUGGAAAGAAAGGAAAGGUCUAAUUAGCUCAUGCUUUAUCUGAAAGCCAGGACUUACCUGCAG